rnacentral:rRNA from 1 species
AUUGAACGCUGGCGGCAUGCCUUACACAUGCAAGUCGAACGGCAGCAUGAUCUAGCUUGCUAGAUUGAUGGCGAGUGGCGAACGGGUGAGUAAUACAUCGGAACGUGCCCUGUAGUGGGGGAUAACUAGUCGAAAGAUUAGCUAAUACCGCAUACGACCUGAGGGUGAAAGUGGGGGACCGCAAGGCCUCAUGCUAUAGGAGCGGCCGAUGUCUGAUUAGCUAGUUGGUGAGGUAAAGGCUCACCAAGGCGACGAUCAGUAGCUGGUCUGAGAGGACGAUCGGCCACACUGGGACUGAGACACGGCCCAGACUCCUACGGGAGGCAGCAGUGGGGAAUUUUGGACAAUGGGCGAAAGCCUGAUCCAGCAAUGCCGCGUGUGUGAAGAAGGCCUUCGGGUUGUAAAGCACUUUUGUCCGGAAAGAAAUGGCUCUGGUUAAUACCUGGGGUCGAUGACGGUACCGGAAGAAUAAGGACCGGCUAACUACGUG